GUCUUGUGUCAAAGAAGAAACAUGUUUGGAAUAAACAAUUUCGUUCCCAGUGUGGAAUUCCAUCAAGUGUUGGGAAUGCAAGGGAGAAUUUGAUAAAGACAAGUGUGCGGAUCCAUUCUAUAAAAGUGUCGGGACAGACUGGGGGGAGACGUGCACAGCCUGCUUAAAAACAAAAGUGAACGGAGUCGUAAUCAGGGCGUGCGCCCCAACCGCCGCACCUGACACGUGCGAUAAGUCGAGUGGAGGUGAAAUCUGUACUUGUAAAGGCGAUUACUGCAAUGGCUCCAACACCCUGGCGGUUUCUACGGCACCGCUGCUUGCCGCCACACUCGCCUUCUUAUUCACACAGUUUUAACACCCAAGACUGACGUGACUGUUUCCUUUAAACUUCAAACUGUUUGCAGUCUUGAUGCUUUUGAAUUCAUGUUGCAUAUUUAAAUAUACUCAAAAAAUAACAAUAUGCAUUUAUAUAUAAUACAUACUGUAUUUCUGUUAUAAAAUGAUCAUUUUUACAGCAAUAGAUGUAGCAUAAAACAUAAUUAAAUAAAGAAGCAAGUUUAAAGUUACAAACAUUAUUUAUUAUGUUUAAAUCAUACUAAAAUAUGCACCACCAUAUCGGUUGCUUUAUUGUAAGAUGUAAGAUCGCGAGGCGUUAUUUUGAUUACA